UACGUAGGGAGCAAGCGUUGUCCGGAAUCAUUGGGCGUAAAGCGCGCGUAGGUGGCUUCGUAAGUCCGCUGUGAAAGUCAAAGGCUCAACCUUUGAAAGCCGGCGGAUACUGUGAAGCUAGAGUCCGGAAGAGGCGAGUGGAAUUCCUGGUGUAGCGGUGGAAUGCGCAGAUAGUCUGGAGGAACACCGGUGGCGAAGGCGGCAUCCUGGACCAAUACUGACACUGAGGAGCGAAAGCCAGGGAGCAAACGGG
rnacentral:rRNA from 1 species